rnacentral:rRNA from 1 species
GAUGAACGCUGGCGGCGUGCUUAACACAUGCAAGUCGAACGAUGAAGCUGGAGCUUGCUCUGGCGGAUUAGUGGCGAACGGGUGAGUAACACGUGAGAAAUCUGCCCUUGACUCUGGGAUAACUGCGGGAAACUGUAGCUAAUACCGGAUACUUUCCCUGGUGGGCAUCCACUGGGGAAGAAAGAAUUUCGGUCAAGGAUGAUCUCGCGGCCUAUCAGCUUGUUGGUGAGGUAAUGGCUCACCAAGGCGACGACGGGUAGCCGGCCUGAGAGGGUGACCGGCCACACUGGGACUGAGACGCGGCCCAGGCUCCUACGGGAGGCAGCAGUGGGGAAUAUUGCACAAUGGGCGCAAGCCUGAUGCAGCAACGCCGCGUGAGGGAUGAAGGCCUUCGGGUUGUAAACCUCUUUUAGCAGGGAAGAAGCGAAAGUGACGGUACCUGCAGAAAAAGCACCGGCUAACUACGUGCCAGCCGCCGCCGUAA